rnacentral:rRNA from 1 species
CCCUUAGAUGUUCUGGGCCGCACGCGCGCUACACUGUUUGAUUCAGCGAGUCUUAACCUUGACCGAAAGGUUUGGGUAAUCUUCUAAAGUCAAACGUGAUGGGGAUCGAUCAUUGCAAUUAUUGAUCGUGAACGAGGAAUUCCUAGUAAAUGCAAGUCAUCAGCUUGCGUUGAUUACGUCCCUGCCCUUUGUACACACCGCCCGUCGCUACUACCGAUUGAAUGGUUUAGUGAGAUCUCCGGAUUGGCUCUGUAGGUCCCGCAAGGGAUUUAUUAGUAGCCAAGAAGCUGCUCAAACUUGAUCAUUUAGAGGAAGUAAAAGGCGUAACA